CCUACGGGGGGCGGCAGUGAGGAAUAUUGGUCAAUGGGCGAGAGCCUGAACCAGCCAAAUCGCGUGAAGGAUGAAGGUAUUAUGUAUUGUAAACUUCUUUUAUCAGGGAAUAAAGUGCAGCACGUGUGCUGUUUUGUAUGUACCUGAAGAAUAAGGAUCGGCUAACUCCGUGCCAGCAGCCCCGGUC
rnacentral:rRNA from 1 species